rnacentral:lncRNA from 1 species
GAGUGGAACAAAAUGCUUUUAUUUACAAGACACACAUUGUAACAAUGACACAAUCAACAUCAAUAUAGAGCAAAAUAAGUGUACAAACAAAACAGAAACAAUUCAGCAUAGUUUUAUUUACACAGUAAAAAUUGUAAAACAUACAUGAUACUACUAUAACAGAUAGUAUGUUAUAGUUUAGUAGUCUCAGAACGUAUGCAACAAGA